AAAUAGGCGCCUUUAGGCGCCACCCUUCCCCGAGAAAAGGAUGUUG
rfam:Ixodes scapularis strain Wikel colony gcontig_1108379227450, whole genome shotgun sequence.